rnacentral:rRNA from 1 species
UACGGAGGGUGCAAGCGUUAUCCGGAUUCACUGGGUUUAAAGGGUGCGUAGGAGGGCAGGUAAGUCAGUGGUGAAAUCUCCAAGCUUAACUUGGAACUGCCGUUGAUACUAUCUGUCUUGAAUAUUGUGGAGGUGAGCGGAAUAUGUCAUGUAGCGGUGAAAUGCUUAGAUAUGACAUAGAACACCAAUUGCGAAGGCAGCUGACUACGCGAGUAUUGACACUGAGGCACGAAAGCGUGGGGAUCAAACAGG